UAGCCGUAAACGAUACUCGCUAGGUGUCGGCCACGGUGCGACCGUUGUCGGUGCCGUAGGGAAGCCGUGAGGCGAGCCACCUGGGAAGUACGGCCGCAAGGCUGAAACUUAAAGGAAUUGGCGGGGGAGCACCACAACGGGUGGAGCUUGCGGUUUAAUUGGAUUCAACGCCGGAAAUCUUACCGGGACCGACAGCAACAUGAAGGCCAGGCUGAAGACUUUGCCGGAUUAGCUGAGAGGUGGUGCAUGGCGUAGUCGUGU
rnacentral:rRNA from 1 species